UACGUAGGGCGCAAGCGUUGUCCGGAAUUAUUGGGCGUAAAGAGCUCGUAGGCGGUUUGUCGCGUCUGCUGUGAAAUCUGGGGGCUCAACCCCCAGCCUGCAGUGGGUACGGGCAGACUAGAGUGCGGUAGGGGAGAUUGGAAUUCCUGGUGUAGCGGUGGAAUGCGCAGAUAUCAGGAGGAACACCGAUGGCGAAGGCAGAUCUCUGGGCCGUAACUGACGCUGAGGAGCGAAAGCAUGGGGAGCGAACAGG
rnacentral:rRNA from 1 species